rnacentral:rRNA from 1 species
CCUACGGGGGGCAGCAGUGGGGAAUAUUGGACAAUGGGGGCAACCCUGAUCCAGCCAUGCCGCGUGUGUGAAGAAGGCCCUCGGGUUGUAAAGCACUUUCAGUGAGGAAGAACGCCUGGUGGUUAAUACCCAUCAGGAAAGACAUCACUCACAGAAGAAGCACCGGCUAACUCCGUGCCAGCAGCCGCGGUAAUACGGAGGGUGCGAGCGUUAAUCGGAAUUACUGGGCGUAAAGCGCGCGUAGGUGGCUUGAUAAGCCGGUUGUGAAAGCCCCGGGCUCAACCUGGGAACGGCAUCCGGAACUGUCAAGCUAGAGUGCAGGAGAGGAAGGUUGAAUUCCCGGUGUAGCGGUGAAAUGCGUAGAGAUCGGGAGGAAUACCAGUGGCGAAGGCGGCCUUCUGGACUGACACUGACACUGAGGUGCGAAAGCGUGGGUAGCAAACAGGAUUAGAUACCCUAGUAGUC